rnacentral:rRNA from 1 species
CCUACGGGAGGCAGCAGUGGGGAAUAUUGGACAAUGGGCGAAAGCCUGAUCCAGCAAUGCCGCGUGAGUGAUGAAGGCCUUAGGGUUGUAAAGCUCUUUUACCAGGGAUGAUAAUGACAGUACCUGGAGA